rnacentral:rRNA from 1 species
GACGAACGCUGGCGGCGUGCCUAAUACAUGCAAGUCGAGCGAACAGACGAGGAGCUUGCUCCUCUGACGUUAGCGGCGGACGGGUGAGUAACACGUGGAUAACCUACCUAUAAGACUGGGAUAACUUCGGGAAACCGGAGCUAAUACCGGAUAAUAUAUUGAACCGCAUGGUUCAAUAGUGAAAGACGGUUUUGCUGUCACUUAUAGAUGGAUCCGCGCCGCAUUAGCUAGUUGGUAAGGUAACGGCUUACCAAGGCGACGAUGCGUAGCCGACCUGAGAGGGUGAUCGGCCACACUGGAACUGAGACACGGUCCAGACUCCUACGGGAGGCAGCAGUAGGGAAUCUUCCGCAAUGGGCGGAAGCCUGACGGAGCAACGCCGCGUGAGUGAUGAAGGUCUUCGGAUCGUAAAACUCUGUUAUUAGGGAAGAACAAAUGUGUAAGUAACUAUGCACGUCUUGACGGUACCUAAUCAGAAAGCCACGGCUAACUACGUG